ensembl:lncRNA
UGUACACAGAAUGGCAGUGAGAGAGUCCAGCGGGAGAUUGAGGCGAAGACAAUGAGCCAUUAACAAUUAAACUUCAUCAACUUGGCGAAAUUGUUGUUGUUACUGGUUAAAAGAGUCGAAAAGGACCAUAUGCAUCAGAAAGAGUUGCAGAAUAAUUAUUAUCUGCAUUUUUGUUGGUUUUUUGGUAAUGAAAAACAUUCAUUGAAUCUCGAAACUCCCUUUGUAAGAACAACCCCUGUAUCUGUGACAGGAAAAAAAGGAGACAGUGCCAUCCUGUCAUGUCAAUUUGAGCCCAGUGACAUUUUUCGUAUUGAUUUAUGGAGGCAAAAAUCCAUCUUUUCAUGUCAGAAUGAAACUUGUGAGAAUGGGCGAUUUUCAAAAAAAGGAUGUGAUGUCACCAUCAAGAAUCUGAGCUUCAGUGAUGCUGGGAAAUAUACUUUGAAAGUAUUUUACAAUCAUAAUCAGACAGUGUUGAAUCAAAAACAGAAGAUGUACCAGCUUCAUAUUCAAGGUAAAUUCAAAUCGGAUCAAACCAUAAGCAUGUGCUUUGUGCUUUGCCUUUAAUAAUUGUGUGGUAUUGUAUGCAAGCCUGUAAACAACAUUAACACUGACUGGUGCUGUGUCCAAAUUCGCAUACUAUCCAUCCUAAAUAUUUUUUGAAAAUAGAAGUAGUAUGUCCCAAAUCAUUGUAUGUUUAAAAAGUAUGCCAAAGAUUCCCGGAUGGUCUACUACUUACGGUUAGAAUUCGAAGUGCAGAUCGAUGCGCACUCUAAUGGCUAAUAUUGGCCAUAACACAUUGCGCGGUGGACUAGGUUAGAUUAGAACUACAAACACGCAUUAAAAGUGUUAAAAAACUACAAACAUGGCAGAUAUACGCGACCGACGGACAGGUAGAGAAAGGAUUUGAGUGAUAAAUAAUGUCUAACCUGAUGAAAAAAUAUUAAUUUAAUCUUAUCCACGUUAUAUUUAAUCUGCAGCAACACUGUGAACUUUUAUAAUGAUACGUUUGGUCAUUAAUUUUUAAAUGCCUCAUUAUGCAAACACAUGAGCCACAGCCAUAUCAACCUGCAGCCCAAGACUGGUCACCCACUGAAGUUAAACAGGGUUGAGCCUGGACCGUACCUUGAUGGGAGACCUCCUGGAAAACUAGGUUGCUGUUGGAAGAGGUGUUAGUGAGGCCAGCAGGGGGCGCUCACCCUGUGCUCUGUGUGGGUCCUAAUGCCCCAGUGUAGUGAUGGGGACACUCUACUGUCAACUAUGCACGUAACUAAGCAACAGAGCGUCCUUUAAAGAAGCAGUUAUGCCAAAGUAGUAUGUCCCAAAACUUGCCUACUAUUCAUCUACAUACACAAAAGCAUGUACCUUUUCUUCACAAAAAGAGUACAUACUUUAAGGGCACAGUAUAAGUAGGCGAAUUGGGAUGCAGCACCGGACAUUAAUAUCGAGAUUAGUUGUCCCCAGUAGUGAUUUUGCAAUGGCUUAAUUUUAAAUGAUUACAUUUGGUCCUCCAAUACUUAAUACGUGCUGAUGGCCUUGAUUGAUUGAAUUUCACUCUAUUAGAAUAAUGAUUAAUAUCUUUAUGUACCACUUUAGAUAAUAUUUCUGUGCAGGAAGGUGGGGAGUUGGGUGAUCUGCCCAGUGCUCAUAAAGUUCUGCAUCAGCCCAGCGGAAGCACAAAGUGGGAGGACGUUUGGCCCAAGGAUCAGAGUGAUGUGAACCUUCAUAAUUUUAGGACCAACCACACAGGAACAUACAGAGUUCUGGACUCUGAAGGAAACAUCUUGAUCACAGUGACAGUCACAGGUAAGAGAAGAUCAGUGGAUAUGUGGAAAUACUAUUUUUAAGAGACAGCUGAUAUUAAUUCACCAUGAUUUGAACAUCACAUUGAUGCUAAACUUUGUGACUAACCUCCCUAUAUUCUCAUCAGAAUCAGGUACAGAAUCAAAGGACAAACAAGACGACACAAAUAAAGACAAAACUGAACCACUUCGUAAGUAUAUC